AACAAACAUUAUAAUUUAGAAAAUAAAAAUAAGGUUGCAGAAAAUAAAAUCGAAGAGAAAAGGGUGCAGGUGAAAAAUCGAGGUAUUGCACGAAAUAUUUAACCUAAGCCUACAUUCUUUAAGAAACCAUAGGUUUCUUCUGCCUCUUCUCCUUUUUAUUUGUUCUCUUCUGUUCUCUUUUCGAAAUUCGAUUUUUUUUCCUCUUUUUCUUCUGUUCCCUUAUGCUCUCCUCCUGAAGUUCAAUUCUCUCUCCUUUUUUGUUUACAAGGUGCAUAUUUAUAUACUCACAUUUGUAAUAUUUUUGGGAUCCUGCCUUAAUGGCGAAUUAAUUGUCAAUUAGCAAAAUAAGGAAAGAAAUGGUCUUGAUUGAAGAAAAAU
rnacentral:lncRNA from 1 species